rnacentral:rRNA from 1 species
GGCGGCGUGCUUAACACAUGCAAGUCGAACGAUGAAGCCCUUCGGGGUGGAUUAGUGGCGAACGGGUGAGUAACACGUGGGCAAUCUGCCCUUCACUCUGGGACAAGCCCUGGAAACGGGGUCUAAUACCGGAUACGACUCGGGAAGGCAUCUUCUCGGGUGGAAAGCUCCGGCGGUGAAGGAUGAGCCCGCGGCCUAUCAGCUUGUUGGUGAGGUAAUGGCUCACCAAGGCGACGACGGGUAGCCGGCCUGAGAGGGCGACCGGCCACACUGGGACUGAGACACGGCCCAGACUCCUACGGGAGGCAGCAGUGGGGAAUAUUGCACAAUGGGCGAAAGCCUGAUGCAGCGACGCCGCGUGAGGGAUGACGGCCUUCGGGUUGUAAACCUCUUUCAGCAGGGAAGAAGCGAAAGUGACGGUACCUGCAGAAGAAGCGCCGGCUAACUACGUGCCAGCAGCCGCGGUAAUACGUAGGGCGCAAGCGUUGUCCGGAAUUAUUGGGCGUAAAGAGCUCGUAGGCGGCUUGUCACGUCGGGUGUGAAAGCCCGGGGCUUAACCCCGGGUCUGCAUUCGAUACGGGCAGGCUAGAGUGUGGUAGGGGAGAUCGGAAUUCCUGGUGUAGCGGUGAAAUGCGCAGAUAUCAGGAGGAACACCGGUGGCGAAGGCGGAUCUCUGGGCCAUUACUGACGCUGAGGAGCGAAAGCGUGGGGAGCGAACAGGAUUAGAUACCCUGGUAGUCCACGCCGUAAACGUUGGGAACUAGGUGUUGGCGACAUUCCACGUCGUCGGUGCCGCAGCUAACGCAUUAAGUUCCCCGCCUGGGGAGUACGGCCGC